UACGGAGGGUGCAAGCGUUAUCCGGAUUCACUGGGUUUAAAGGGUGCGUAGGUGGGCAGUUAAGUCAGUGGUGAAAUCUCCGGGCUCAACCCGGAAACUGCCAUUGAUACUAUCUGUCUUGAAUAUCGUGGAGGUAAGCGGAAUAUGUCAUGUAGCGGUGAAAUGCAUAGAUAUGACUUAGAACACCAAUUGCGAAGGCAGCUCGCUAAACAGACAUUGACGCUGAGGCACGAAAGCGUGGGGAUCAAACAGG
rnacentral:rRNA from 1 species